GAUGAACGCUAGCGACAGGCCUAACACAUGCAAGUCGAGGGGCAGCACAUAAGGUAGCAAUACGUUUUGGUGGCGACCGGCGCACGGGUGAGUAACACGUAUGCAAUCUACCUGUAAGCGGGGAAUAACCCGGAGAAAUUCGGACUAAUACCGCAUAAUACCACGAAUUCGCAUGAAUUUGUGUGUUAAACAUUUAUGGCUUACAGAUGAGCAUGCGUAUGAUUAGAUAGUUGGUAGGGUAACGGCCUACCAAGUCUGCGAUCAUUAGGGGUUCUGAGAGGAAGGUCCCCCACACUGGUACUGAGACACGGACCAGACUCCUACGGGAGGCAGCAGUGAGGAAUAUUGGUCAAUGGGCGAGAGCCUGAACCAGCCAAGUCGCGUGAAGGAAGAAGGUUCUAUGGAUUGUAAACUUCUUUUGUAAGGGAAUAAAGUACGGCACGUGUGCUGUUUUGUAUGUACCUUACGAAUAAGGAUCGGCUAACUCCGUG
rnacentral:rRNA from 1 species